rnacentral:miRNA from 1 species
GCUAGCCAUAUCUGAAGUUCAACACGCCCUCCCCUCUUCCUAUACAUCUAUGGAGGAUUUACCCCCCAUAUACCUUGAGAGAUGAGGUAGUAGUUAGAACUUUCAUGAAGCAA